AGAGUUUGAUCCUGGCUCAGGAUAAACGCUGGCGGCGUGCCUAAUACAUGCAAGUCGAACGGAGGAUUUGUAGCAAUAUGAAUUCUUAGUGGCGAAUGGGUGAGUAACGCGUUGGUGACCUACCCCUAAGAGAGGGAUAACAGUUCGAAAGGACUGCUAAUACCUCAUGUGAUCAGUGGGAUUGGAAUCUGCUGAUUAAAGCCGCAAGGCGCUUGGGGAGGGGCCUGCGUCCCAUCAGCUAGUUGGUAGGGUAAAGGCCUACCAAGGCUACGACGGGUAGGGGGCCUGAGAGGGUGGCCCCCCACACUGGCACUGACACACGGGCCAGACACCUACGGGUGGCAGCAGUAGGGAAUAUUGGGCAAUGGGCGAAAGCCUGACCCAGCAACGCCGCGUGUGCGAUGAAGGUCUUCGGAUCGUAAAGCACUUUUGGAAGAGAUGAGGAAGGACGGUAUCUUCAGAAUAAGGAUCGGCUAACUACGUGCCAGCAGCCGCGGUAAAACGUAGGAUCCAAGCGUUAUCCGAAUUUACUGGGCGUAAAGCGCAUGCAGGCGGAUCGGCAAGUCGGAUGUAAAAGCUCCUGGCUCAACUAGGAGAGGCCGUUCGAAACUACCGAACUAGAGGACGAUAGAGGAAGGUGGAAUUCCCGGUGUAGUGGUGAAAUGCGUAGAUAUCGGGAGGAACACCAGUGGCGAAAGCGACCUUCUGGAUCGUUCCUGACGCUCAGAUGCGAAAGCUAGGGGAGCAAACGGGAUUAGAAACCCCGGUAGUCCUAGCCGUAAACGAUGUAGACUUGGCGUUGGUGGGGUAAAAGCCAUCGGUGCCGAAGCCAACC
rnacentral:rRNA from 1 species